rnacentral:rRNA from 1 species
AAUGAACGCUGGCGGCGUGCUUAACACAUGCAAGUCGAACGAGGUGGAAGGGGGCAACUCCUUCCAUCGAGUGGCGGACGGGUGAGUAACACGUGGGUAACCUGCCCGGAAGUGGGGAAUACCUCGGGGAAACUCGAGCUAAUUCCGCAUGACAUCUUCGGGACGAAAGUCCUGACGAUCAAAGCGGGUCGCAAGACCUCGCGCUACCGGAUGGGCCCGCGCCCGAUUAGCUAGUUGGUGAGGUAACGGCUCACCAAGGCUUCGAUCGGUAACCGGCCUGAGAGGGCGAUCGGUCACACCGGAACUGAGACACGGUCCGGACUCCUACGGGAGGCAG